GUAAACCAAAAAUGAAGAAUUACAUCUUCUCAGGACA
rnacentral:tRNA from 1 species